rnacentral:rRNA from 1 species
AUCUUCCACAAUGGGCGAAAGCCUGAUGGAGCAACGCCGCGUGAGUGAUGAAGGUUUUCGGAUCGUAAAACUCUGUUGUUAGGGAAGAACAACCGGAAGAGGAUUCCGGCCUGACGGUACCUAAUUAGAACGCCCCGGCUAACUACGUGCCAGCAGCCGCGGUAAUACGUAGGGGGCAAGCGUUGUCCGGAAUUAUUGGGCGUAAAGCGCGCGCAGGCGGCCUAUUAAGUCUGAUGUGAAAGCCCACGGCUCAACCGUGGAGGGCCAUUGGAAACUGGUAGGCUUGAGUGCAGGAGAGGAGAGCGGAAUUCCUGGUGUAGCGGUGAAAUGCGUAGAUAUCAGGAGGAACACCCGUGGCGAAGGCGGCUCUCUGGCCUGUAACUGACGCUGAGGCGCGAAAGCGUGGGGAGCAAACAGG